GACGAACGCUGGCGGCGUGCUUAACACAUGCAAGUCGAGCGGUAAGGCCCUUUCGGGGGUACGACGAGCGGCGAACGGGUGAGUAACACGUGGGUGACCUGCCCUUAGCUCUGGGAUAAGCCUGGGAAACUGGGUCUAAUACCGGAUAUGACUCCAUGACGCAUGUUGUGGGGUGGAAAGCCUUGUGCGGCUAGGGAUGGGCCCGCGGCCUAUCAGCUUGUUGGUGGGGUGAUGGCCUACCAAGGCGACGACGGGUAGCCGGCCUGAGAGGGCGACCGGCCACACUGGGACUGAGACACGGCCCAGACUCCUACGGGAGGCAGCAGUGGGGAAUCUUGCGCAAUGGGCGAAAGCCUGACGCAGCGACGCCGCGUGAGGGAUGACGGCCUGG
rnacentral:rRNA from 1 species